CCUUUGACGUUAGCGGCGGACGGGUGAGUAACACGUGGGUAACCUACCUAUAAGACUGGGAUAACUUCGGGAAACCGAGCUAAUACCGGAUAAUAUUUCGAACCGCAUGGUUCGAUAGUGAAAGGUGGUUUUGCUAUCACUUAUAGAUGGACCCGCGCCGUAUUAGCUAGUUGGUAAGGUAACGGCUUACCAAGGCGACGAUACGUAGCCGACCUGAGAGGGUGAUCGGCCACACUGGAACUGAGACACGGUCCAGACUCCUACGGGAGGCAGCAGCU
rnacentral:rRNA from 1 species